GGCCUCUUAAAUUAACAAGCAACUUAUUGCAGGUCAAAAUAUGGUUAAUCAGAGAAACUUAAACAAUUCAAAAAACUUCAGAGGCAGGUACAGAGGCAGAGCACAAGGUUCAUACAGAGGGGGAAGAAAUGGACGGUCAAGAGGCUACAGGGGAACAGCCCCAAGAAAGACAUAUCAAGGAUACUGAAUUUUAAUUGGAAGAAUUCUGCAAAAACUGGAGGAAGACAAGAAGAGAUUUAUCAAAUUCCUUUGCUGAUACUGUGUUGCGAGCUUCUUCUUCAUAAUAGUGGAAUUCUCAUCCUUGAUCUUGGGGGACAUUCAAGUAGGAU